rnacentral:lncRNA from 1 species
AGGCAUUAAGGAAAGGCAGCCCCUCUCUCUCGAGGCAUCCACAGCCAGCACUCACUUUCUCUCCAAGCCAGCCCAGGGAUGGGUUGGUGAGAUCUGAAGCUCGAAGACACCUUUUCAUGGCUUCCUCUCUUCUUCUCUUCCUCGGUUCAUAGUGUUCUAAGCCACAGGUCUUUCCCAUAUUCCAUUCCUUUGCUGAAUUUGCUGCUAUAUCCCUCUGUAACAGAAUCUCUGCCCUGUCUUUAGUCUGAACCUUGCUAAUUCUUGCUGUUCUUGGCUGUAAACUCUUGAUCCUGCGUGUAAAACUCUUGUUCCUGUUUAGUAAUCUGUUCUAGUGUUUAUUUGUGACGUGCUUGCUGUGUUAGAUCAUUUUUCCCUGUCUUUAAAAUUCAGGCCUGUUGCAGUUCAGUGUUGUUUUUCUUGUUCAUGUCAUGUUUUGCUGUAAUUUGUUCAUGAAUUGUGCCCGUGCUCGUUGUUGUGUUAGAUCCAUGUUACUAUGAUGUUAGUAGAUGCUUAUGUGUUGUUUUUACUCAAUAGAACAUCCCACUGAACUUGCUAUUCUCAAUUUCUUGCUCAAAUCUGUUCCUGUCUUUAAUUCUGCACCUCCUAACCCUGAAUUCCUGCUGUUCUAAACCUUGAUAUACUAUGAUCUAAUCCCUGUCUAAAAACUUGCUUCUAAACCUUGCCUAAAUCUAAUUCUUGUUGUUCUUCACUGUCUAAACCCCUAAAUCUUGCUUAAACUUGCUGUCUAAAUCUUUGAACCUUAUCCACUUCUGAUUCUGAACUUCUUGCACCUUUAACUUUCUACCUGUCUUGAUCUUUAUCUAUCUCCUGCUCUAAAUCAUUUCCUU